UCCGCCCAUAUCGGCUUGAAACACUGGAUCUCGUACAAUCAGCGAAGUUAAACAAGGCCGAGCCUGAUCAGUACCUCGAUGGGUGACCGCUUUGGAAUAUCAGGUGCUGUAAG